AGAGUUUGAUCCUGGCUCAGGAUGAACGCUAGCUACAGGCUUAACACAUGCAAGUCGAGGGGAAACGACAUCGAAAGCUUGCUUUUGAUGGGCGUCGACCGGCGCACGGGUGAGUAACGCGUAUCCAACCUGCCACCACUUGGGGAGUAACCUUGCGAAAGUAAGACUAAUACCCAAUGAUAUCUCUAGAAGACAUCUGAAAGAGAUUAAAGAUUUAUCGGUGAUGGAUGGGGAGUGCGUCUGAUUAGCUUGUUGGCGGGGAUAACGGCCACCAAGGCUACGAUCAGUAGGGGUUCUGAGAGGAAGGUCCCCCACAUUGGAACUGAGACACGGUCCAAACUCCUACGGGAGGCA
rnacentral:rRNA from 1 species